AGAGUUUGAUCCUGGCUCAGAAUCAACGCUGGCGGCGCGCCUAACACAUGCAAGUCGAACGAGAAAGGGGAGCAAUCCCUGAGUAAAGUGGCGUACGGGUGAGUAACACGUGGGUAAUCUGCCCUUUGGUGGGGAAUAACCCUGGGAAACCGGGGCUAAUACCGCAUAAGUCCGAGAGGGGAAAGCAGCAAUGCGCCGAAGGAGGAGCCCGCGGCCGAUUAGCUAGUUGGUAGGGUAAAGGCCUACCAAGGCAAAGAUCGGUAGCCGGCCUGAGAGGGCACACGGCCACACUGGCACUGAAACACGGGCCAGACUCCUACGGGAGGCAGCAGUGGGGAAUCUUGCACAAUGGGGGAAACCCUGAUGCAGCGACGCCGCGUGAGCGAUGAAGCCCUUCGGGGUGUAAAGCUCUUUCGGCAGGGAAGAUGAUGACGGUACCUGCAAAAGCAGCUGCGGCUAACUACGUGCCAGCAGCCGCGGUAAUACGUAGGCAGCAAGCGUUGUUCGGAGUUACUGGGCGUAAAGGGUGUGUAGGCGGUUUGGUAAGUCUGGUGUGAAAUCUCCCGGCUCAACUGGGAGGGUGCGCCGGAAACUGCCGGACUCGAGUGCGGGAGAGGAGAGUGGAAUUCCUGGUGUAGCGGUGAAAUGCGUAGAUAUCAGGAGGAACACCGGUGGUGUAGACGGCUCUCUGGACCGUAACUGACGCUGAAACACGAAAGCGUGGGUAGCAAACAGGAUUAGAUACCCUGGUAGUCCACGCCCUAAACGAUGCAUAUUUGGUGUGGGUCAUUCAGUUGAUCCGUGCCGGAGCUAACGCGUUAAAUAUGCCGCCUGGGGAGUACAGUCGCAAGGCUGAAACUCAAAGGAAUUGACGGGGCCCGCACAAGCGGUGGAGCAUGUGGUUCAAUUCGACGCAACGCGAGA
rnacentral:rRNA from 1 species